rnacentral:rRNA from 1 species
GACGAACCGUCCAAACGUUAUUCGGAAUCACUGGGCUUACAGAGUUCGUAGGCGGUCUGGAAAGUUGGGUGUGAAAUCCCUCGGCUCAACCGAGGAACUGCGCUCAAAACUACCCGACUCGAGGGAGAUAGAGGAAAGCGGAACUGAUGGUGGAGCGGUGAAAUGCGUUGAUAUCAUCAGGAACACCGGUGGCGAAGGCGGCUUUCUGGGUCUUACCUGACGCUGAGGAACGAAAGCCAGGGGAGCGAACGGG